GACGAACGCUGGCGGCGUGCUUAACACAUGCAAGUCGAACGGAAAGGCCCUGCUUUUGUGGGGUUCUCGAGUGGCGAACGGGUGAGUAACACGUGAGUAACCUGCCCUUGACUUUGGGAUAACUUCAGGAAACUGGGGCUAAUACCGGAUCGGAGCUCCUGCUGCAUGGUGGGGGUUGGAAAGUUUCGGCGGUUGGGGAUGGACUCGCGGCUUAUCAGCUUGUUGGUGGGGUAGUGGCUUACCAAGGCUUUGACGGGUCGCCGGCCUGAGAGGGUGACCGGCCACAUUGGGACUGAGAUACGGCCCAGACUCCUAUGGGAGGCAGCAGUGGGGAAUAUUGCACAAUGGGCGGAAGCCUGAUGCAGCAACGCCGCGGGCGGGAUGACGGCCUUCGGGUUGUAAACCGCUUUCGCCUGUGACGAAGCGUGAGUGACGGUAAUGGGUAAAGAAGCACCGGCUAACUACGUG
rnacentral:rRNA from 1 species